rnacentral:tRNA from 2 species
GGCUCCGUAGCUCAGCAGGAUAGAGCGACGGUUUCCUAAACCGCAGGUCGGGGGUUCGAGUCCCUCCGGGGCCACCA